rnacentral:rRNA from 1 species
UCCUGGCUCAGGAUGAACGCUGGCGGCGUGCCUAACACAUGCAAGUCGAACGGAGCUGCUUUGAUGAAGUUUCGGAUGGAUUUAAAACAGCUUAGUGGCGGACGGGUGAGUAACGCGUGGGUAACCUGCCUCACACUGGGGGAUAACAGUUAGAAAUAGCUGCUAAUACCGCAUAAGCGCACGGUUCCGCAUGGAACAGUGUGAAAAACUCCGGUGGUGUGAGAUGGACCCGCGUCUGAUUAGCCAGUUGGCGGGUAACGGCCCACCUAGUCUUCGAUGGAUAGGGGUUCUGAGAGGAAGGUCCCCCACAUUGGAACUGAGACACGGUCCAAACUCCUACGGGAGGCAGCAGUGAGGAAUAUUGGUCAAUGGGCGAGAGCCUGAACCAGCCAAGUAGCGUGAAGGAUGACUGCCCUAUGGGUUGUAAACUUCUUUUAUAAAGGAAUAAAGUCGGGUAUGCAUACCCGUUUGCAUGUACUUUAUGAAUAAGGAUCGGCUAACUCCGUG